rnacentral:lncRNA from 10 species
GGUCAUUAGCAUAACCUCCCUCCUCUUCCUGUACCUCAGACCCAGUAGGUCCUCCGAUACUCAAGAACUCCUUCCCGGAGCGGAGACACAGAUCAUGGCUAUCAGAUGGGUCCCUUGGCAGCUCAGCUGCAGUGUCACUCUGUCCACCCAGGCUGGAGCGUAAUGGCACGAUCUCAGCUCACUGCAACCUCCAUCUCCAGGGUUCAAGCAAUUCUCCUGCCUCAGCCUCUCGAGUAAGUGGGACUACAGGCAUGUGCCACCACGCCCGGUUAAUUUUUUUUGUAUUUUUACUAGAGACAGGUUUUCACCAUGUUGGCCAGGCUAGUAUCAAACUCCUGACCUCAGGUAAUCUGCCCACCUCGGCCUCCCAAAGUGUUGGGAUUACAGGUGUGAGCCACUGCACCCAUUUUCUAAUCUCCAGUGAAACCAACUUCAUAAAGGCUGUGGCAUUUCUUCCAAGACACUACGAUGAAGAUGACAUCAUCAGGAGACUUAGGGAAAGCUACGACUUUUCAAGUAACUAAAGUGGGUGACCCUCACUACUUUGUGGGCUCAAUAGCUGUGUCUUCAUUUAUAAAAAUAAAAUGGUAGAGACUGUAUUGGACAGGAGAGACCUGGAAUAUGGAUCUAAGUAACCAGCUAGCACAAAAAUACCCCACUAUUUAUGUUAUGUAUACAUACAUAUAUACAUACGUGCAUUGGUGGAGCUAGAUAAUAUCUUUCAGCUCUGUUACUUUACAUUGAAGUAUCUGACUGAUCAUACUCAUUUGUGCAGGAGAUAUUUAAAAUCUAGUUGUGAAGAUGACUGAGUCAUGAAACAUUAAAUAAUCUUAAUGUAUAAGCUCCCAAAAGGAAGUCAAUGAGAAAGGGUUAACUUUGCCAUGUAUGUUCAUAGGAAAGUGAGUAUGACUUGUAUCUAAGUUAUGGAUCAGCAAACUAGACCCCCCAGCCAAGUCCAGACUACCCCCUAUCUUUAUAAAUAAAGUUUUAUUGGAACACAGCCACUCAUUCAUUUAUGUAUCAUCUGUGGCUGCUUUCACUUUGCAAUGGCAGAAAUAAGCAGUUAUGACAAGACUUUAUGGCCCACAAAGCUAAAACUAUUUACUAUCUGGCCUUGUACAGAAAAAACUUUUUGAUCCAAAAAAGGCUGAACAAAGAAGAUUUUAAAAGAGAUGGGGGGGGAGAGAAAAAGAGAGAGGGCUGAAUCUCAGGCAGGGGUACGGACUGAAUAGGCAAAGUAGCUUUCCAAACAGAGAGAAAGGAUUGGGCAAUCGAAUGGAUUCAGAACUGGUCACUAGAGGACCAGACUGGAUGGUUUGAAGUAACGAAGAUGAACUGGAUUGAGAGUAGGCACAAGCCAGAGAGUUGUGGGCAUUCACACCCAGACAACUGGACUUGACUGUGGACAGUCGGCCAUUAGUGAGGGUUUCUGAGGAGAGAGUUGACAAAACAGAAGAUUUAAAGAAAUCCAAUGAGGUUGCAGUUUUAGCACAGUUUGAGCUUCCUAGCAUGAGACAUUGAAGGUCCCCACAUCCCAGGAGCCAUGGGACUGGACAUAAUGGUAUGAGUAAGGGAGACAGUAGGAAAGGUGGAGCUAUGUGACUUGUGAUCACUGGGAUGGCGAUGAGGAAGGAGAAGGAGUAAUUAGGGCUUGCUUAGGGCUUCCACCCUGGGUGACCACACAGCUGACCACUUCACAUGCAGCCACGUGCAUUAGUGCAUACGAUUUCUUGAGCUGACAGUGAAAUGUGUGCCUGAAAGUUUCAUACCAUGACUCAGGUCCAAAGUAAUUCUAAGGAACAGGGCCAGUGAUUUCAGUGGCUUAUUUCCCACCCUACCUUCUAAUCAAUGUAAUUCAUUGACUUAUUCACCAUAUUCUGGAGAGGGCGAAAAGCAGCAGUUUGCUACUUCUCAAAGUUGCUCUGGCAGGUCAAUAUCCUGUCAUCACUAAUCCUGCAAACCUUUUCAAAGACUUCAAGUACAUAGUUGGCUAUUAUCAUCUUUCAGGGAGUUCCUCUACCUAUUCUCCUUUUCAUGUUAUAGACACCCUAACGGCGAGUCUUAAAAUCGCGGUUCUGACAGAGAGAUUGGGAAGUUCAAGUCAAUUCCUCAUUUACCUGCUCGGUCUGCAAAGCAGUUCGAAUAGCUUUAGGAACAUCUACUUGGCUCCUUUGCAAACAAACAGGCCUGGUGCCCAUGACUCCUCUGUUAUGAGGCUCUCCUCCUCCCUGGAGACGAGCAGCAUUCCUGUUGCAGAGUGCUGGACAUUGUUCUGGGAACCCUCUGCCCAGAUACUCAUUAGUACUGCAUUAGUCUAUAAACGCCGAAAGAAAUGCUUAGUUCACCUCGCUCUUACUUGAUGUACUUGAAAGGUCUGGUGAAUUUAUGGCAGGAUAAUGUGGAGCCCAGCACCUAUUUAUGAGUUGAUCAUUUGUACCGAACCCCCCUCAAAGUGCCAAGGGUUACCAUUCAACCACGGCCUGCACUAAUGCCACGGGAAGGCCAACAAAGCCAAGUGUACGAAAGUUAAAAGCAUUAAUAAAAGUGUGACUUAUAAAUUACUUCAUCUUUGUCACCCAUUUUGAAAUGGGGUGAGAGAGGCCAGGGUAAAUUUAUUUUUUAAGUGCUUUCUGAGACCCAAACGGGUCAGGCUUGAAAUGCUGUAGUAUAUAAAUCAUUCUUUGCAGAUCUGGGGGAUGCUGCAAGCAUCACAACAUUAACAAAUAUUGAUUUAUUUUAUCAUUUGCAACUGUUUAUAGUAUGACAGAUCCUACUGCACACGCAAAAGCAAAUACUUUGAGGCAAUGUAGUUAAUUAAUAUCUCUUGUAAGGGGGGAAAAAGGGAAAACCUGGCAAUAGGAUUUCAGCUUGUAUGGAAGUUUGUGGCAAGGUGAUUUUCAUCAGAUUGGCUGACAUUAACUCAGCCCCCACCCCAAUACCAUGGAGAUGGAUGGAUUUCACGCUAAGCAAUUUGAUGUACAAAUGGCAUAUAUGAGAGGUCCUGUCAUCAACGCAGCAUCAUUAUACAUGAUAUCAACCAAAGCUCCUGUGAGGCUGAAACCUAGGAAAGGGUCAGCAGGGGUUUCAGACCCCUGGCCACUCUGCUCAACUUUGUAUCAAAGCAUUAAAUAAGCAGACACCCACACUCAAUUCAACCACAGGUUCUAAAGGAUUUAUCUGGGGUCCCUGCUGAUGCAAUGAAGGACAAUUAACAAAAAUGCCUUCAAGGUAAGGGAGAUGAAAGUCUGCAUUGUGCUGGAAAGUGUCCCUGGCUCUGCUGCGCUUUCUCAAACUGCACUUUGGAUGUGUUUUCAAACUUAAAUUGCUCACAGUUUGGGCCUUCUCCUAACAGGCAACAGAGGGCUGGAGACUGAUUAGUCAAAGAAGUUCAGGGAGCCCUACAGUUUCAUUGAGAUAAACAAUGACAACCACACAAACAAUGACUUAGAAAAUCUGAUUUAAACUCCUGACAAUGAUUAAUGCAUCUGAACUAUGCAAGGAGAACUCAGUGAAAUAAUCAUAGAUUGGUACUUUUGUCUGGGAAGCACAAUGAAGUUGAUCUCUGUGUCCAAGCACAUCCUCAAGCCUCCUGUGCAACUGGGUGCUCCUUACGUGGGGCACUGAGGUCAAUGGUACACCGUGGAGCUAGUAAUUGCUAUGCAGUCAAUUACCAAUGGCAUAGCAAUGUCUGAGAUUCCCUUUUAAUAGUGUAGCCUGGGAAAGUAUCUCCCAAUGGCAACGAUAGCUGAGGCCAGAACCAAGAUUUCUCAGUCUCAGCACUACUGACACUUUGGGCUGGAUAGUUCUUUGUUGAGGAGUGGGGCAAGGGGUCUUGUACACUGUAGGAUAUUUGGCAUCAUCUCUAGUUUCUGCCUACUAGAUGCUGGUAGCAAUCACCACCACCCCAAUGUGAGAGUCAAAAGUUACAGCAGGCAUUGCUAAUUGUUGUUAGGACUAAAAUCUCCCUUUGUUGACAACCACUGGGUUAGACAAAAUAACUCAAAGAUUUUGUAUCAGGCCUUUCCCACCAGAAAAUCUUCCUUGGCCACAAACUUUAAGUCUUAGGAUUCUAAAUGUACAACUUUGGGCCACUUUGUGGUCUAAUAUUGAACAAUGUGGCUGUACCUGUUGAUCUUAACCACUAUGAAGGGAAGGAUCAAGAAGAGACUUCCGAGAACUAAAAAUUAUUGUGUAUAAGUCAACAGGAGAGGGAAGAGAAAAAUUAGCCACCAUAAGGCAAGAGUAGGAUGGGGGAAAGCAGUUCCAGUGAUGUGGGUCAUGCUCCACAGGGAUGAGGGCUCAUAGGUAAGAAGAAAGCACAUUCAGAAUGUCACCUAGUAUAACUUAGUCCAAUGGACUAAUGCCAGAGUUGAAUAGUAAGAUCUUCCCCAUAUUUAAACCAAAAAAGCCACUGCCCCUCUGGCCAAGUGUGAAGUCUUACUGCAUACCGGCUGUGGCAGAUCUUAUUUUCCAAAGAUGGUCACGACAAUGUCUCUCAUCCCACCAACUCUUCUGCAAUGUGACCUUGCCAUGCCCUUCAUAAGGAGGUGAGGUUUCUUUCUCCAUCUCCUUGAAUCUGGGUGGCCAUGUCUGACAAAUGCAACAUGGCAGAAGUGACGCAGGGCCAGUACUGGGAGUAAGUCUUUUUUUUUGAGACAGAGUCUUGCUCUGUCGCCCAGGCUGGAGUGCAGUGGCACAAUCUCAGCUCACUGCAAGCUCUGCCUCCUGGGUUCAUGCCAUUCUCCUGCCUCAGCCUCCCGAGUAGCUGGGACUACAGGCGCCCACCACCACACUUGGCUAAUUUUUUAUGUUUUUUAGUAAAGACAGGGUUUCACCGUGUUAGCCAGGAUGGUCUUGAUCUCCUGCCUCAGCCUCCCAAAGUGCUGGGAUUACAGAUGUGAGCCACCACACCCGGCCUGGGAGUAACUCUUAACUGGCUGGUGGCUUCUGCUCCCUCUUUCUUGGAAUGUCUGCUCAUGGAACAUUGCCUCUCAGAACCCAGCUGCCAUACCAUGAGAUUCACAGUUUACAGGGAGAGGCCAUGUGGAUGAUAGGUUCUGGUCAACUGCACAUUGAGUUUGCAGCCAGCCCUAUGAGUGAGUUAUCCCUGUUACCCAGUCCAAUCAAACCCACACAUGAGUCCAGCUCCAGCCAACAUCUGAAUGUAACCCCCUGUGAGACUCCAAGCAAGAACCGCCCUGCUGAGCCCCAUCAAUUCCAGACUCAUGAGAGAUAUAUAAUAAUAGUUAUUUUAAGCCACCAAGCUCUUGGGUAGUUUGUUAUACAGCAAUAUGUAACUGGAACACCAACCACACUGAUAUUUCUAUGAAGCUAAAGACAAAUGUGUUCUACUACCAAAGUUAUUGAGACUUCAAUCUCUGGAAAUCUCAAUAACCUGGUAGUAGAACACAUUUGUCUUUAGACUGAGAUUGAUCAAAGGGAAUUAACAGACAUCAUCAUCACCCUAUUUACUAGAUGCACAAUACUUUCCAUUUGUUAUCUCAUGUCAUUCUUGCAGUCAACUUAGGAGACAACUAUUAUUAUCCCCCUUGACAAAUGAUGGGACUGAGGUCUAGAGAGCGUGAGUCUCCUUGCCAAGGCAACACAGUCAGGGGGUGGAGAAACACAGAUUCAAAAACAGUCUGACACUAAAGCGUUAAUUUUACCACUAAUCUGUGGACAGUUUUAGCCCCAAGACAGAAGACAUGGAAGCAGAGAUAAAUCUGUAAAAUGUUAUACUCAGGGAAUUCUAUCAGAGAACUCUGUCCUGUGACCUCUGAUUUCCAGAGUCAUAAAAUCAGCUGUUGUUCUUCCCCAUGGACCAGCACAGAGGUCUCUCCUGCUUUGAGGAAUGUGGUCGGCAGCACACUGAGGAGGUAUAUGGAUUAGGUACCAUCUCUGAUGGAAUUUCUAAAGGGGCACUGGAAUCAGAAAACCCCAGUCUUUCAAAGAACUGAUCCUUAACCUUCUCAGCAUCUCUGCAACUUAGCUAUGCCUAUGACCUGUUGGGUGGCCUUAAGCAAACCACAAACCCUCUAAGCCUCAGAGUUCUCAGCUGUAAACUGGGAAUUACCCCUACCCCUCAGGACUGUUAUGACAACUUGAGAUAAUGUAUCAAAGUGCACAGCGUGGUGCUGGCACACAGAGGCACUUGAACCUGGUAGCCUACCUAGGACCUGUGUCUGCCCUGAAUAGUCUGAGGUAUGAGGAAGCUAGAUUGUGAAGUUUACACUUAGCCUGUGUCUAAACAUUUGCCUGGAAAUUUGCAGCCAUGCUGAACACAUGCAUCCCUCCUGCAGCCUACAGCAGACAUAUGAUAGAAAGGAGACGGUCGUCAGGGUGCUGGGCUCAGUGGGAAGUCAAAGAUGCUGUAGUGUGAAAUGCACUUACAUGGGCUGACCUUUGUAAAGGCACCACUCACAUGCUCCUGAGAUUCCCAUAUAGCCUAACAGCAUGUUAGAACGGUCACAACCCAAAGACUCCAUGUCUGAUCAUUUCUGAUGCUUGGCAGCCCAUUCCAAAGGCAUCUCCCCCUCUACAUUUGCCUUUGAGCACAGUUGAGGCACUGCCUUCCCAAAGGACCCCAUUCCUGUCCCUUCCUGCAAUCUUCAGUCACAUAGAAAGACAUCUCCCCUGGCAUCAUCAGUGUCCAGUACAAUAAAAAGUCACCAGAAUCGUCAAGCUGGAUCCAAUGCCAGCCCAGAAAUCAUUCUUAGCUGCCAGGCCAUACAAAAUUAGGCAGCGGGCUGUGGAUUGCCAACCCUUCCUGUGUAACCCAGAAACCCUUCAGUGACCACCAUGAAAUAUUACCUGGUGCAGUUCUAAGCGACUAUACUUUCAAACAAGUGUUUCAGAAGGACAGAUGCCUGCAAAGAAUACAGAAACAGGAGUGGCAACCACAUGAAAUAACAAUAAGGAGGUUAGUUUGAAUGGAGAUUUCCUGAAGGAAGUGAGUUUGAAGUCAUUUUGAAAUAACUGAAGGAACUAAAUAUUGAAACAUGCACGCGACCAUAGGAAGUGCGUUCGUGGAGGACCUGGAACCAGGAAAAACAAAGAUUCAGAGGCGAUUUGAGAGUGUGAAGAUGAUUUGAAGAGCCAGACGUUUUUUCUCUCAGAUCUAACACAGGAGCAGAUUUUCAAAAACACAGGUUCUACAAACUGCCUGUCUUUGAUAUCCAGGAGGAGCUCAUCUGGAAUGCAAAGGAGCUAGUACAAGAAGCACCUUCCUUCCUGGGUGGUGAGACCAGCCCCGUGCACUUAGCGAGUGGAUUUUAAAUAUAAAGAGAUUUGUGUCCAGUUAUCUAGGUGGCCACUGGAAUGACAGUAAUUCACACCAAACCACAUAAGGAGGAAACAUCAUCCAUCUUCAUUUUUUAGAAAAAAAAAAAGCAGCUUUAGAAAACCAGAUAACUAGCCCUCAAUCAAUUCCGAGUCAGCAGAUCUAUUUACUCUCUUCUGAUGCUGUGUCACUCGAUUGAGUCUUGCUGGCUCCGUCAGGAUUUUUCCAACAUGCGUUGUCAUGGAUCAAAACCUUCCAGCAACUGUCCUUUGUCUCUCAAAAUAGUGUCUUUUCUCAAUCCAUGAAGUAAGGCAUGUCUCACUCAGGAUCUGCUCAACUGAUUUUGAAAAAGAUGCCAAAAUUCUUUUUUCUCUUUUUUUUUAGAGACAGAGUCUCACUCUGCCACCCAGGCUGGAGUGCAGUGGCACAAUCUUGGCUUACUGCAGCCUCAAAUUCCUGGGCUCAAGAGGAGUAGCUACUCAGCCUCCUGAGUAGCUGAACACAGGCAUGUGCCACUCUGCCCAGCUAAUGUAGAGACAGGGUCUUACCAUAUUGCCCAGGCUGUUCUCUAAAUUCUGGACUCAAGCAAUCUUCUCACAUAGGCCUCCCAAGUGCUGGGAUUGCAGGCAUGAGCCACUGUGCCUGGCCUGCAAAAGCUCUUUACUUUGAAAGCACAUUGAAAUUGUUCUGUACUUGGCAGCGGUGGUUACACAGCUGUAUAUUGCCAUCAACAUUCAUGGAUCUAUACACCAAAGAGUGAAUUUGACUGUAUGCAAGUGAUGUUUCCAUUUAAGUAAGAGUCAAAGGAAAAAAAAAUGAAAUACUGAAAUUUCUGUCUGGACACGGAAGGCUUAAAAAAUAGGAGCGUCUAUCCUCUCUGAGUAUCUGCCUAAGUUUUCGAGGGAAAACAUGAAUGAGCCAAUUAAAGAUCUCAUUUCUAGGUGACUGACAAAUCACAUUUGAGUUACUCAACUAGUUCUGGUUUGGGGAUUGGUGAGUUUCACUGUAUCAAGCUGUGACUCUGUUUAACCCAAGUAUUCCCUCGAGGCCAAUCUUGGCUGUCUCUCUUCAAGCUGAAAUUGAGAGGCUUUGCGAGUGGCCCUAUAAACACGCUAAUGAAUGAAUGGACAACUAAUUACCUUGUAAAUAUGCAUGAAUAAGCACAGGCCUCAGAUGCCUCUGCAGUAAGCCAAAUGUCUCGGCGCCCCCUUGCUACUUACUUGUGCAUGAGAAAACGUGUGAUAUUCCUACGGUGGAAGCUCAGGCCUCUCAUUCUCAGAGGCAAAUCUUUCAAUGUUGGUGGAAAAGGUCCUGGUAUAGGACACUUUAAAAGACACAUUAAUAAAAAUAACAGACAAAUGUAGCCAUGAAGAAUAACCCAUCAUCCACGUUCCUACACCCCCAUAAAAGAGUAAACUAACCUCUUGAUUAAAUUUUUCCAGCAAGGAGGCCCUUUUUUUAUUUUAAACUUGUUUUUAAAUAGUUUUUUUUUCUCCUUUGUUUAUAUAUUGUAGGUCACAGUGAUUCCCC